UGAGCCUUUUAAACUGGGUGAGAAGCAGGCUUUUCAGACCAUGCAUUGCUACAGCUGUUCCCUGAGCUCUGUCCUCAAGGCAGAUGGAGGGAUGGUGAGGCAAUUGGUUAAGGGGUUAUCUCAUCCUUUUGCCCAUGCUGGCUAACUGUUUCCAGCUGAAGUGUGCUGAGUAGCUUAUAUUGGAGGCUGAACAAACACAUGGAUGCACGGAGCACCUUGGAGGACAGCAGGCUACGUAAGCAACAGAAUAAGCCUGCAGAAAGCCUCCAGCAGAUGUUUCACUCCUCAUACAGAAUAAUGGGAACCACUUUCUCUCUCAGGAACACAUUGUGUAACCUUCCUGCUGUAUAGCCUAGAAAAGUGCAGCACUUCUGCAGAUUUACUAGCAUCUCUCAUCGUGGAUGACACCCUUAAUCUGUAGCAUUUUUUAAAACCACCCAGUUACUAUGGCAAU